CAGCCGCCGCGGUAAAACCAGCACCUCAAGUGGUCAGGAUGAUUAUUGGGCCUAAAGCAUCCGUAGCUCGUUUUGUAAGUUUUCGGUUAAAUCCAUGCGCUUAACGUAUGGGCUGCCGGGAAUACUGCAUAACUAGGAAGUGGGAGAGGUAGACGGUACUCGGGAGGAAGGGGUAAAAUCCUUUGAUCUCUUGAUGACCACCUGUGGCGAAGGCGGUCUACCAGAACACGUUCGACGGUGAGGGAUGAAAGCUGGGGGAGCAAACCGGAUUAGAUACCCGGGUAGUCCCAGCUGUAAACUAUGCAAACUCAGUGAUGCAUUGGCUUAUGGCCAAUGCAGUGCUGCAGGGAAGCCGUUAAGUUUGCCGCCUGGGAAGUACGUACGCAAGUAUGAAACUUAAAGGAAUUGGCGGGGGGAGCACCA
rnacentral:rRNA from 1 species